rnacentral:rRNA from 1 species
CCUACGGGUGGCAGCAGUGAGGAAUAUUGGUCAAUGGGCGAGAGCCUGAACCAGCCAAGUCGCGUGAGGGAGUACUGCCCUAUGGGUUGUAAACCUCUUUUGUCGGGGAGCAAAAGCCGGACGUGUCCGGCUGUGAGAGUACCCGAAGAAAAAGCAUCGGCAAACUCCGUGCCCGCAGCCGCGGUAAUUGGGGGGAUGCCAGCGUUAUCCGGUUUUUUUGGGUUUAAAGGGUGCGCAGGGGGAUUUUUAAGUCAGCGGGAAAAGCGUGGGGCUCAACCCCAUCCAGCCGUUGAAACUGGGGGUCUAGAGUGUGCGUGAGGUAGGCGGAAUGCGUGGUGUAGCGGUGAAAUGCAUAGAGAUCACGCAGAACCCCGAUUGCGAAGGCAGCAUACCGGUGCACAACUGACGCUCAGGCACGAAAGCGUGGGUAUCGAACAGGAUUAGAUACCCGAGUAGUC